AUUGAACGCUGGCGGCGUGCUUAACACAUGCAAGUCGUGCGGUAACAGGCGUAGCAAUACGUGCUGACGAGCGGCGAACGGGUGCGUAAUACAUGGGAAUCUGCCCUUUAGUGGGGAAUAACCCGGCGAAAGCCGGGCUAAUGCCGCAUAAGAUCUUCGGAUGAAAGCGGGGGAUCGUAAGACCUCGCGCUGAUGGAUGAGCCCAUGCCGGAUUAGCAGUUGGUGAGGUAACGGCUCACCAAGGCUUCGACGGUAGCUGGUCUGAGAGGACGAUCAGCCACACUGGCACUGCGACACGGGCCAGACUCCUACGGGAGGCAGCAGUAAGGAAUAUUGCGCAAUGGGACGAAAGCCUGACGCAGCGACGCCGC
rnacentral:rRNA from 1 species